ACUCUACUAAAUAUUGGGAAUAUGAUAGUAAAAUUUAAAAAGCUCCUGCAAUCACAGUAUUAUCCUCUAAGACAUGUUCUGGACUUAAAUUACAUAUUAAUUAAUAUCUGAUUUUCAAAAUAACAUAAUCAGAGACAAACUUGACAAAGUAAACUAUACCAUUUCCUUAUCCCAUAGAUGUUCUCUGAAGAGUAGUGUGUUAGGCAGAAUAUUCUUUAUUGGGUAUUUAGAAAAAAAUGUAGUCUGUAUUUUCCUGACCAAGAAAUAAACAUUAGCACUUACUCUCCCUUCCUCCCCUCUCCCAGUUCCUGACAAUCACAAAUCUGCCUCUAUGGAUUUGCCUAUUCUGUGGACAUUUCAUAUGAAUGGGAUCAUACAAUAUAUAACUUUUGUGAU
rnacentral:lncRNA from 1 species